rnacentral:lncRNA from 1 species
UGAAUAUGAAUGACUUUAUUAUUAUUUAUGGACAAAUGCACAUCAUGAAUGUGUUCCAUGUUAUACUGUAAACAAUAACUGGAUAUGUUUCCUUCAUAUUACAUGCAUAAAACUAAAAUGUAAAAAACUAAGUAAUGAUGAACAAUGUGCAUAUUAACACCAUCACUACUACAUACAUAGUUAGCAUUGGUAAAAUGCUACUAUAGUAUCAACAUACUGAAAGCAAAAUAGAAGGAACACUUUAUUCUUGUGCAUAUUCGCUAAUGAAGAUGAAUUAAAUGGCCGGCCUGAAUGGAUCGCCGGUUACUGUCAUGGUAAUGGCGAUUGUGAUGGUGGUGGUGUGUCUCCAGUCUGGUGGUUGCUUCCAAAUACCAGGAAGACAAUUAAUGCCUGAUCAAAUUAAAAACAAUAUAUUAAUCAUAACAUUUUUCAGAAUAUAAAUUAAAUGCCAAAAAAUGUCCAUGAGAUUAAUUAAUUAAUAUUAAUACCACAAUAUAGCAUAUUCAGAAUGAGGAAUUGCAAAUUUGAACACAAAUAAUAAUAUUAAUAAUUAGUACACUACAUAUAUUCUGCUUUAAUGAAUCGAGAUAUAUACAAUACAUUAAUCAUAACAUUUUUCAUAAUAUAUUAAAAAAAACACAAAAUCAAAUGCCAAAACAAGUCCAUGAGAAUGAUUAAUUAAUUAAAAAUAGCACAAUAUAUAGCAUACAAAAUGUGGAAUUGUAAAUUUGAACUGAAAUAAUUAAUUAAUCAUUCAUAAUAUAUAAGUACAGUACUAUGUAUAUAUGUUCUGCUUUGUUCAUCAAUCAUUUAGAAAGAAAGAUGAAGAUAGAUAACAGUAAGUAUAUAACACAAACAUGCAAAUGAGAAUCAUCAUGAUUGAGAAAGAAAGAAAGAUGAAAGAAGAAACAAUAUUUCCAUGUGAUUGAGAAAGAAAGAAAGAAAGAAAGACAGAAAGAUGAAGAUGAAGAAGUUCUUACAAAGAGACUGAUGAGAAAAACAGUUCCAAGUAGAACUUUGACUCUGAAUGAAAGUCCUCCAUCUCCUCCUCC